GAGGACAGUCUUCAUUGAGGUAAUCAAUUGAUUAAGUUGAUUAGGCCAUAAAUCACCAAGUACAACUCUCCAAGUAAUCAACGAUUUUCAGAAUUAGUUUUUAGCUUGGGCAACAAUUUUAGCAGGAAAAUAGUGUGAAUGGAUAUAACAAUCAAAUUUUCUAAACACACAAGAAUUAGAUGGAGAUUCGACAAGUGAGUUAGGACAACUUCAAACAUGACCCAGUGUGAAUUCGAGCCAGUAAACCAAUCAGACAUACGACAUAUUCAUGAAGGGCAAGUGUAAAGCUUAAAUUGAAUA
rnacentral:lncRNA from 1 species